rnacentral:rRNA from 1 species
UACGUAGGUGACAAGCGUUGUCCGGAUUUACUGGGCGUAAAGAGCGCGCAGGCGGUCGUUCAAGUCGAGUGUGAAAGCCCCCGGCUCAACUGGGGAGGGUCAUUCGAUACUGAUCGACUCGAAGGCAGGAGAGGGAAGUGGAAUUCCCGGUGUAGUGGUGAAAUGCGUAGAUAUCGGAAGGAACACCGGUGGCGAAAGCGGCGCGCUGGACCUCUUCUGACGCUGAGGCGCGAAAGCCAGGGGAGCAAACGGG